rnacentral:rRNA from 1 species
GGGAAUAUUGGACAAUGGGCGCAAGCCUGAUCCAGCCAUGCCGCGUGAGUGAUGACGGCCUUAGGGUUGUAAAGCUCUUUCGCACGCGACGAUAAUGACGGUAGCGUGAGAAGAAGCCCCGGCUAACUUCGUGCCAGCAGCCGCGGUAAUACGAAGGGGGCUAGCGUUGUUCGGAUUAACUGGGCGUAAAGGGUGCGUAGGCGGGUUUUUAAGUCAGGGGUGAAAUCCCGAGGCUCAACCUCGGAACGGCCUUUGAUACUGAAAAUCUUGAGACCGGGAGAGGUGAGUGGAACUGCGAGUGUAGAGGUGAAAUUCGUAGAUAUUCGCAAGAACACCAGUGGCGAAGGCGGCUCACUGGCCCGGCACUGACGCUGAGGCACGAAAGCGUGGGGAGCAAA